rnacentral:tRNA from 1 species
GCGUAAUUGGUUUAGUGGUAAAAUUCUCCGUUGCCAUUCACUGAAUGCACCAUCGGGGAGCCCUGGGUUCGAUUCCCAGAUUACGCA